rnacentral:lncRNA from 10 species
AGGCACUGGAGACAAAGAUCAGCCACGUGGCAGUCAACCAUGUCUAUCUGACCAAGUUCCAAUGAAAACUCUGGACACCAAGGCUUGGGAGAUAUUUCUCAAAAGACUCCUCUGCGGGAGAGGAGAAUAGAUUCACAGGCCUGCCUUACUCUAAGACAAUCCAGCACUAAGCCAAUGCAUACAUAUCUGAGAAAUGAAAAUUAAGACUUACUGGUCAUCUGAAAUUCAGCAAAUGCUACUCUCUCUAGCUGUACUCUAAGCAGUUCGCAGGGAGCAUCUUUCAGCAGCUGAAACAGCUUUGCGGCCUUGCUGUAAUGAAGAUCUGCCAGCACCCGGUGUUGUUUCCUAAGGUGUUCAUCACCAACCUAGAACCAAACCAAAACAAGCAACAAAUCCUUCACGAGAAAGAAAGAAAACAACUGUGUAAGCAGACAUCAGUGUAAACCUUAGCACUGUCUCUUGAUGAGAUAAGAGGAGGAUGGCAGUGACAGGAGUGUGGUGGCGAGCCAGUCACCUGCAGUCAACCACGGCUCAUUGCUCUCACCAUGCCUGUUACAUGAAGUUUCAGGCAUCCACUGGGGAUCUUGGAACG